rnacentral:rRNA from 1 species
GUGCCAGCCGCCGCGGUAAUACCGGCAGCCCGAGUGAUGGCCGAUCUUAUUGGGCCUAAAGCGUCCGUAGCUGGCUGCGCAAGUCCGUCGGGAAAUCCACUCGCCCAGCGAGUGGGCGUCCGACGGAAACUGCACAGCUUGGGACCGGAAGGCUCGAAGGGUACGUUCGGGGUAGGAGUGAAAUCCUAUAAUCCCGCACGGACCACCGAUGGCGAAAGCACGUCGCGAAGACGGAUCCGACAGUGAGGGACGAAAGCUAGGGUCUCGAACCGGAUUAGAAACCCCUGUAGUCC